GAUGAAGAACGUAGCGAAAUGCGAUAAGUAAUGUGAAUUGCAGAAUUCUGUGAAUCAUCGAAUCUUUGAACGCACAUUGCGCCCUCUGGUAUUCCGGGGGGCAUGCCUGUCCGAGCGUCAUUUGCAACCCUCAAGCCCGGCUUGUGUGAUGGGUGCCGUCCCCUACGGGACGCGCCCCGAAGGCAAUGGCGGCGUCGCGGUUAUCCGAUCAGCCAAAGUGUAUGGGGCUUUGUCACUCACUUUACGGCCCGGACCGGCGCCAGUCCGAAUCAAUCUUUUUUCUAAAGUUGACCUCGGAUCAGGUAGGGAUACCCGCUGAACUUAAGCAUAUCAAUAAGCGGAGGA
rnacentral:misc_RNA from 1 species